GAAUUAAAUUAACUUAGUGGCGGACGGGCGAGUAACACGUGAGCAACCUGCCUCUUACAGGGGAAUAACAAACGGGAAACCGUUGCUAAUACCGCAUAACAUGUUGAAAGGGCAUCCUUUUAAACAUCAAAGGAGCAAUCCGGUAAGAGAUGGGCUCGCGUCCGAUUAGCUAGUUGGUAGGUAACGGCCCUACCCAAGGCGACGAUCGGUAGCCGGACUGAGAGGUCGAACGGCCGCAUUGGGACUGAGACACGGCCCAGACUCCUACGGGAGGCAGCAGUGGGGAAUAUUGGGCAAUGGGCGAAAGCCUGACCCAGCAACGCCGCGUGAGUGAUGAAGGCCUUCGGGUUGUAAAACUCUUUGGACAGGGACGAAGAAAGUGACGGUACCUGUAGAACAAGCCACGGCUAACUACGUGCCAGCAGCCGCGGUAAU
rnacentral:rRNA from 1 species